CGCUCCGGUGGCCUAGUGGUUAGGGCGUCCGCCUCGGAUGUAGGAGGUCCAGUGUUUGAACCCCUGCCGAGUGA